rnacentral:misc_RNA from 1 species
AUAUAUUUGAACACCUCACUAGCACGACUAGUGGGGGUAAUUAGUUUCGAAUUUUGAUUCCUUCUCUGGAGAAGUGUUGAGGUGUGCCAGUAGAAGAGGAUGUGAAUGGAUAUCCAUAUAUUUGAGCUAGCUAGCCUUGUGAUGUGAUUUCUCUUUAGCCUCUGGCUAUCGAGAUUCAUGUGAUUUCUCUUAGCCUCUGGCUAUUGAGAUUCUAUUUGUUUCGAAUGGCAUGAUUUAACUGUGGGUUUUAUGAAAUGUGUUUUGAUACUUUGAAAUAAACUUGGUUUACAUGUAAAAUCUUACAAUGCAUGAUUGUAUUUAAUUUUCAUGUUUAGUCAAAUUUUUGAAUGAAUGUGCUUUAAGUUUUGCAUAAAGAUUAUUUUAGUAUAUUGUGCACCACUGAGUCCUAGUACUCAGCGAUAGCUUCUAUUGCUGUCGCAGAUACAGAGA